rnacentral:lncRNA from 10 species
AGAACAAUGAAUUCCUUCAAGGCUCUGUGCAGACAUUUCAAACAGUGGAUACCAGACAGGCUUGGCAUAGCUUAGACUCAAUUAUAGCUAGAAUUAUUUUAUUUCUGGAUGCUGCAUCUUAGUCCAGGGAUUUUUAAAGUGUGGUUCCUGGAAGAGCUGGAUCAGAGUCAUCUGUGUUGAUGGUUUAACAUAAAGAUUUUCGAGCCCCAAGACUCAAGUAGGACAAGGAAUUUGAAUUUUUAAGCAGCUCACCUGACUUGUCUGUCCUCUAAUGUCUGAAGACAUCUGACCUCUGCUCUUUCAGUAAAAGCAACAAUGGUUUUAUGAGCAUUGUCGUCACAUCUCUCCACUCAAGGGAUCCUUCUCAUUUCUCCCAGCUGAGGUCACCCACAGCUGCUGCUUCUAACUGCUGGCUUCCAGCCUGCUGUCUGCCAGCUGGCUCUACCCUCUCCUAUAACACGGCAGAGAGUAGCUGUGGUCUCCUGCGUGCUCACCCUCUGCUCCCUUGGUCCUGCUCCAUGCUUUGGUCCUGCACUUAAAUUUUACAAGCAUACUCUCUUUCUCUUAAGUAACUGCCUGAAAAGCCAAGAAGUAGAGUGACGGGGUGGUGUUGAAGGUGGCAGACUGAUGAAGAUAAGGAGAAAUGAAUUUGGAAAAGGAGGGAGGAGCAAACCAAUGAAGAGUUGUAAAAACCAGAAAAGCAAUUCUGGAUUAGAUUUAGAAGUGGCAGAAUGACAAGGUGAAGUUUUCUAUAGGGAGAAAGUUGCUAGGUUGCCUCAUUUGAGACAGCCUGGAAUUUUUGAAAAGCGGAAAUUAAAAAAAAAAACUAGA